AGUGAACGCUGGCGGUAGGCCUAACACAUGCAAGUCGAACGGCAGCACAGUAAGAGCUUGCUCUUACGGGUGGCGAGUGGCGGACGGGUGAGGAAUACAUCGGAAUCUACUUUUUCGUGGGGGAUAACGUAGGGAAACUUACGCUAAUACCGCAUACGACCUACGGGUGAAAGCAGGGGAUCUUCGGACCUUGCGCGAUUGAAUGAGCUGAUGUCGGAUUAGCUAGUUGGCGGGGUAAAGGCCCACCAAGGCGACGAUCCGUAGCUGGUCUGAGAGGAUGAUCGGCCACACUGGAACUGAGACACGGUCCAGACUCCUACGGGAGGCAGCAGUGGGGAAUAUUGGACAAUGGGCGCAAGCCUGAUCCAGCCAUACCGCGUGAGUGAAGAAGGCCUUCGGGUUGUAAAGCCCUUUUGUUGGGAAAGAAAAGCAGCAGGUUAAUACCCCGCUGUUCUGACGGUACCCAAAGAAUAAGCACCGGCUAACUUCGUG
rnacentral:rRNA from 1 species